rnacentral:rRNA from 1 species
UACGUAGGGUGCAAGCGUUGUCCGGAAUUAUUGGGCGUAAAGAGCUCGUAGGCGGCUUGUUGCGUCGACUGUGAAAACCUGCGGCUCAACCGUGUGGUCUGCAGUCGAUACGGGCAGGCUGGAGUUCGGUAGGGGAGACUGGAAUUCCUGGUGUAGCGGUGAAAUGCGCAGAUAUUCGCAGGAACACCAGUGGCGAAGGCGGCUCACUGGUCCGGUACUGACGCUGAGGUGCGAAAGCGUGGGGAGCAAACAGG